GAUGAAGAACGUAGCGAAAUGCGAUAAGUAAUGUGAAUUGCAGAAUUCAGUGAAUCAUCGAAUCUUUGAACGCACAUUGCGCCCGCCAGUAUUCUGGCGGGCAUGCCUGUUCGAGCGUCAUUUCAACCAUCAAGCCCCCGGCUUGUGUUGGGGACCUGCGGCUGCCGCAGGCCCUGAAAAGCAGUGGCGGGCUCGCUGUCACACCGAGCGUAGUAGCAUACAUCUCGCUCUGGGCGUGCUGCGGGUUCCGGCCGUUAAACCACCUUCAUAACCCAAGGUUGACCUCGGAUCAGGUAGGAAGACCCGCCGAACUUAAGCAUAUCAAUAAGCGGAGGA
rnacentral:misc_RNA from 1 species